AUGAACGCUGGCGGCGUGCCUAAUACAUGCAAGUCGAGCGAACGGACGAGAAGCUUGCUUCUCUGAUGUUAGCGGCGGACGGGUGAGUAACACGUGGAUAACCUACCUAUAAGACUGGGAUAACUUCGGGAAACCGGAGCUAAUACCGGAUAAUAUUUUGAACCGCAUGGUUCAAAAGUGAAAGACGGUCUUGCUGUCACUUAUAGAUGGAUCCGCGCUGCAUUAGCUAGUUGGUAAGGUAACGGCUUACCAAGGCAACGAUGCAUAGCCGACCUGAGAGGGUGAUCGGCCACACUGGAACUGAGACACGGUCUAGACUCCUACGGGAGGCAGCAGUAGGGAAUCUUCCGCAAUGGGCGAAAGCCUGACGGAGCAAUGCCGCGUGAGUGAUGAAGGUCUUCGGAUCGUAAAACUCUGUUAUUAGGGAAGAACAUAUGUGUAAGUAACUGUGCACAUCUUGACGGUACCUAAUCAGAAAGCCACGGCUAACUACGUG
rnacentral:rRNA from 1 species